GAAGGAAAAAAACCUCUUCUAGCAGAAACUGUACAUGUGAGACUUAAUAAAGGCAUUGGUUCUGUAGACAAAAUCAAAUUUUCACAUUCUGCAAUCUAUAUGAAGAUGGGGAUGUUCAGGUUAGGUGCACGAUUUGUUGACACUUUCAAUAGCAUUCAAGUAAAAGAAGCAAGGACUGAAUCUUUCACUGUCAAGGAUGGGCGCCAGCAAUAU
rnacentral:misc_RNA from 1 species